AUUGAACGCUGGCGGCAGGCCUAACACAUGCAAGUCGAACGAGUGGCGGACGGGUGAGUAAUGUCUGGGAAACUGCCUGAUGGAGGGGGAUAACUACUGGAAACGGUAGCUAAUACCACAUACCAUCGGAUGUGCCCAGAUGGGAUUAGCUAGUGGGUGGGGUAAAGGCUCACCUAGGCGACGAUCCCUCGCUGGUCUGCGAGGAGGACAAGCAAAACGGGGACUGGGACACGGCCCAGACUCCUACGGGAGGAAGCAGUGGGGAAGAUUGGACAAUGGGCGAAAGCCUGAUCCAGCCAUGCCGCGUGUGUGAAGAAGGUCUUCGGAUUGUAAAGCACUUUAAGUGGGGAGGCGUUACCAACAGAAUAAGCACCGGCUAACUUCGUGCCAGCAGCCGCGGUAAUUC
rnacentral:rRNA from 1 species